rnacentral:rRNA from 1 species
UUGAACGCUAGCGGGAUGCUUUACACCUGCCAGUCGAACGGCAGCGCGGACUUCGGUCUGGCGGCGAGUGGCGAACGGGUGAGUAAUGUAUCGGAACGUGCCCAGUAGCGGGGGAUAACUACGCGAAAGCGUAGCUAAUACCGCAUACGCCCUACGGGGGAAAGCAGGGGAUCGUAAGACCUUGCACUAUUGGAGCGGCCGAUAUCGGAUUAGCUAGUUGGUGAGGUAACGGCUCACCAAGGCGACGAUCCGUAGCUGGUUUGAGAGGACGACCAGCCACACUGGGACUGAGACACGGCCCAGACUCCUACGGGAGGCAGCAGUGGGGAAUUUUGGACAAUGGGGGCAACCCUGAUCCAGCCAUCCCGCGUGUGCGAUGAAGGCCUUCGGGUUGUAAAGCACUUUUGGCAGGAAAGAAACGUCGCGGGCUAAUACCCCGUGGAACUGACGGUACCCGCAGAAUAAGCACCGGCUAACUACGUG